rnacentral:rRNA from 1 species
CCCUUAGAUGUCCUGGGCCGCACGCGCGCUACACUGAACGGAUCAGCGCGUUUUCCCUUCCCGAGAGGGACGGGUAACCUGCUGAACCCCGUUCGUGGUAGGGAUCGGGGCUUGCAAUUAUUCCCCGUGAACCAGGAAUGCCCAGUAAGUGCAAGUCAUAAGCUUGCGUUGACUACGUCCCUGCCCUUUGUACACACCGCCCGUCGCUACUACCGAUUGAACGUUUUAGUGAGGUACUCGGACUGAGCCUCAGAAGAUUCACGUCUUUUGUGCUGCUCGGGAAGAUUCCCAAACUUGAGCGUUUAGAGGAAGUAAAAGUCGUAACA